rnacentral:rRNA from 1 species
CAGCAGCCGCGGGAAUACGAAGGGGGCUAGCGUUGCUCGGAAUGACUGGGCGUAAAGGGCGCGUAGGCGGCGAUCAAAGUCAGGCGUGAAAUUCCUGGGCUCAACCUGGGGGCUGCGUUUGAUACUUGGUUGCUAGAGUGAGGAAGAGGGUCGUGGAAUUCCCAGUGUAGAGGUGAAAUUCGUAGAUAUUGGGAAGAACACCGGUGGCGAAGGCGGCGACCUGGUCCUUGACUGACGCUGAGGCGCGAAAGCGUGGGGAGCAAACAGGAUUAGAUACCCCAGUAGUCCCUGUCUCUUAUAC